ensembl:lncRNA
GAGCAUAACAGUUGGCAUCAUUUACGCAGCGAUACUGAUGUGAUAAUUGUGGCAUCUGUGAUUGGGAGGUGAAUAAUUCUGGCAGCCAUGGUAAGCUGUGUAUUCGUCUAUGUAUGUGUGUGUGUGUGCCUGUAGGUGUGCCAGGCCCCCACCAUAGGUACCCAUGGAGAUCUCCGGACUGAAAUAUUCAUUCUUGUUUGCUCGCCCAGACAGUGUGGUCCUAAUUGCAGCAUCAGAAAGCUCCACCUCUCCCUCUCGUCUGGCUUGGCUGCAGCAGAGAUAAACCUCAUCUGGGAGCAGGAUGUCUCUGGCGAAUAUGAGGCUCUGGAGUUUUUCAUCAGUUCCCGUGCCAACCCUACCCAUGCCUGGCCAAGCUGAACCAUCUUGUGGGAUUUUUGGCUUUUAAUUAUACACUCAGUGUACCACUCCAGAUGAUGGCUUCCACAGAUGGCACCCAGUGGUUGAAGGAACCUGAUUCAAUCAGACAACCUGGUUUGGCGUCAAACAUCCACCCUGCUGAAAUGCUCGUAUCCUGACAGCAAUAAGUAUGACUCAUCUUCCACAGUUCUAAGUAAAAUCCUAUCUGCC